UACAGAGGAUGCAAGCGUUAUCCGGAAUGAUUGGGCGUAAAGCGUCUGUAGGUGGCUUUUUAAGUCCGCCGUCAAAUCCCAGGGCUCAACUCUGGACAGGCGGUGGAAACUGCAAAGCUAGAGUCCGGAAGAGGAGAGUGGAAUUCCUGGUGUAGCGGUGAAAUGCGCAGAUAUCAGGAAGAACACCCGUGGCGAAGGCGGCUCUCUGGGACGGUACUGACGCUGAGACGCGAAAGCGUGGGGAGCGAACAGG
rnacentral:rRNA from 1 species